CGUGUAGGCGGCUCGAUAAGUCCGGUGUGAAACCUUGGGGCUCAACCCCAAGCCUGCACUGGAUACUGUCGAGCUAGAGUCCGGGAGGGGAGAGCGGAAUUCCUAGUGUAGCGGUGAAAUGCGCAGAUAUUAGGAAGAACACCGGUGGCGAAGGCGGCUCUCUGGAACGGUACUGACGCUGAGACGCGAAAGCGUGGGAGCGAACA
rnacentral:rRNA from 1 species